UACGAGUGCCCCAAGCGUUAUCCGGAAUUAUUGGGCGUAAAGGGUGUGUAGGUGGUUUUGUUAGUCUUCUGUUAAAGCUCCCGGCUUAACCGGGAAAGUGCAGGGGAAACGGCAAGACUAGAGGAUGUGAGGGGUCUAUGGAACUCAUGGUGUAGGGGUGAAAUCCGUUGAUAUCAUGGGGAACACCAAAAGCGAAGGCAAUAGACUGGCGCAUUCCUGACACUGAAACACGAAAGCGUGGGUAGCGAAUGGG
rnacentral:rRNA from 1 species